CUGCUGCCUUCCGUAGGAGUCUGGUCCGUGUCUCAGUACCAGUGUGGGGGACCUUCCUCUCAGAACCCCUAGACAUCGUCGCCUUGGUGGGCCGUUACCCCGCCAACUAGCUAAUGUCACGCAUGCCCAUCCGUCUCCGGAGUCGCCUCCUUUGGCCGAAAGAAGAUGCCUCCCCUCGGCCACAUGCGGUAUUAGGCCGGAUUUCUCCGGGUUAUCCCGCUGAAACGGGCAGGUUGCAUACGCGUUACUCACCCGUGCGCCGGUCCGG
rnacentral:rRNA from 1 species